GCAUGCCUACAGCAUAGCGUUAAUGCAAUGGAUCCCAUUAAAACUUCGUAGUUAAGCGCGCUCAUGCUAGAGUAGUAUUGGGAUGGGUGACUUCUCGGGAAGUGCUAGUAUUUUACAUGCC
rnacentral:rRNA from 1 species